UUACGGCUCAGUAACACGUGCUAACCUACCCUCGAGACAGGGACAACCCCGGGAAACUGGGGCUAAUCCCAGAUAGAUGAGAACCCUGGAAUGGGUCCUCGUCCAAAAGGCACUGCGGUUAUGCUCUGCGGUGUCGCUCAAGGAUGGGGCCGCGUCCGAUCAGGCUGUUGGUGAGGCAACGGCUCACCAAACCUAUAACCGGUACGGGCCGUGGGAGCGGGAGCCCGGAGAUGGGAACUGAGACAAGGUCCCAGGCCCUACGGGGCGCAGCAGUUACGAAAACCUGUCAAUGCACGAAAGUGUGAACGGGCUACCCCGAGUGCCGUCCGCUGAGGAUGGCUUUUCUCUGCUUUAAGAAGGCAGAGGAAUAAGGAGAGGGCAAGUCUGGUGUCAGCCGCCGCGGUAAUACCAGCUCUCCGAGUGGUAGGGAUGAUUAUUGGGCCUGAAGCGUCCGUAGCUGGCCUUUCAAGUCUCUUGUUAAAUCCAGCGAUUCAAUCGUUGGACUGCAGGAGAUACUGCAAGGCUAGGAGGCGAGAGAAGCCGACGGUAUUCUCGGGGUAGGGGUAAAAUCCUAUAAUCCCGGGAAGACCACCAGUGGCGAAGGCGGUCGGCUAGCGCGCGCUCGACGGUGAGGGACGAAAGCUGGGGGAGCGAACCGGAUUA
rnacentral:rRNA from 1 species